AAGAGCUGUGCGUAAUGGACUGCAGGGCAGCAUUAAGAAAAUCAAAUUAGUCCUUAUUUGGCCAAGGUUUAUUAUUGCUCGGCUCAGAAACCAUAUCUCCCAAAUAACUGUGUCAACCACAGGAGGUCUGAACAGAAAAUAUCAAAGAAGAGCAUAAACAAAGACGUCUGUCUCGCUCGAAUAACGCUGACCAGUGAAUCGAUGCACCAGCAGUUUUGAUGGAUGGCGAUUGUAAUCGAGUUACAAACGACGGAUGGCCACGAGCGUCAGGUCCAGCUGUGACGGCCGCAUGCUGGAGGUCAUCCACCAUGCUGUUGGCUCCCAGAGCAUUGCAUGCUGCGGUCCAAAGUUCCUAAAACACACAAAAACAGACAUCUUUGAUGCACAAACUGUAGCUUCUGUCUGUUGAUUUCAGAGAAGACAACCACAAGCACAUCAGCCAGUUCACCUCACUGUGGUCCACCCUCUGUUGUCUCAAAAUGCAAGAUGCUGAGUCUUCAUCUCUCAGGUGGCUGUGUGGCACAAGAGCCUUAAAUGAUGUACUAGGCCUGUUUUACCGAAAUAAUGCUGCUCCCUGGAAAUCACACAGGCAGUCUCUGCACGCACAGACCAGGCACACUCUGUGUGUAUAUGCUGAGGUUUUAAUUCAGGGUUAGUGACCCAAGAAGACAAAAGGACAAGGACAAGCGGACAUGUUAUCCACUGAAUGGCUAUGUACUGAUCAAAGGAAGUUAAGAAAAAGGCGCCAUGAAUGGGGAACAAAAUAGGGUAUAAAAAAAUAGUGAAAGGGGGUGCUUAAAGGGAAAGUCUACAAAUGAAAAUUUCAAAAAUUUAUUUUCUGUUAUCAUUUACUCGCCAUCAUGAAAUAUUUCUCUCUCUCUCGCUCUCUCUGUCUCUCUCUCCUCUUUUUUUUUUCUUUUUUAUCUGUACAAUGGAAAGCGAAUGUUUGAACUGGUAAUCAAAUCAAUGGUAAUCAAAACUGUUUGGUUACGAGCAUUCUUAAAAAAUCUCUUCUUUUGUGUUUUGCUAAAGAAAGAAAGGUAUAGAGGUUGACACAAGGGUGAGUAAAUGAUGACAGAAUUUUUAUUUAAGUAAACUAUCCCUUUGAUCUCCAGAAAAUGUUGAUUGACAACCUCAGGAGGUCAAACUAAAUAUCAAAAGGGCUGAUUAUUUUCUAUUCAUUUUAUAUGUGGUUUACAAGCUUUGCAGCCAUAUUACUUUACCUUGUUGCAUUUUCGGCGAUAAACCUGAUGGUCACACUUUAUUUUAAGGUCCAGUUCAUUUGAUUUACUAUAUAUUUACAAUAUUGACAAAAAAAAAAGAUAUCUCUAUUUUCUGGAAUUUUAUCGAUAACGAUGAUUAGACGAUAUUUUGCUGAGUUUAUAAUUGUGCUGACAUCUUAAGGACUACCGUAGACUGCUGACUCCUAAUGUUUUUCAUAUUCUUCAUGUUCUGUGUGUUGGUCAGUUCACAGCAGUGAUAGAAAGUAGCUAAUCUUUUUCAAUGACUUUAAAUUGAUUUUUACCUUUUAUGGGCAUUUUUACCUUUAU